UAUUAAAAUUUUCAUCCAUUUCUACAGUUAAAAAUUAACAUAGCUAACAGAAAAACUAGACAGUUACACUGAAAUGCCGCAUGUACCUCAUUCUAACGUAGCCCAAUUUUUAAUGGUAAAAAUGGACGAAACUUUUAACA
rfam:Gossypium arboreum cultivar AKA8401 contig_14_25, whole genome shotgun sequence.